AGUUGUCUGUAACCCUUGGUAUCAUGUUUGCCUAUUUGCUCGGCUUGUUUGUUCCUUGGAGGCUUCUUGCAGUAAUAGGAACCUUGCUCUGCAUAGUGUUGAUAUCUGGCCUUUUCUUCAUUCCGGAAUCUCCAAGAUGGCUGGCAAAGAUGAAUAUAAUGGAUGAUUGCGAGACUUCUCUACAAGUUCUGAGAGGAUUCGAUGCUGACAUCACUUCAGAAUUGAAUGAUAUAAAGGUUAGCACUUCCCUUUGUUCUACAGCAUGGACUCCUUCCAGACCGCCAACAACCUCGUCCGCACCCAGGCAUCAGCAAGACAACACAACAGUUGGAUGGAAUCUAUGCACUCUUUGCAGUAUUGAGGCUUGCUGUUGUUGAUACAAAAGCAGAUGGUGCCAUUCUGAAGGAGAAACUGUGGACAUUGAUUGCUCAAAAUGAACCCUCGUUAAUCUCUUUAUAGUUGGUAAUUCUGUUGUUCUGAAUUUUCCACUAAGAAUACUUUGUUAUCCCACAAAAAUAACACGAAAGUGCAUGUAUGGAUGUACUUCAGCAUCUCAGCACCUUUUUAUUUAUUAUUUAGAGAUCCUGAUGAGCUACUUAUGGAAUAUACAUUUAUGUAAAUUGUGUUUGGAGAAAUAAUUCUUAGUGGUUACAAGAACUCUAAAGGGUGUAGUGUAAUCAUUCGUAUUAAAUCUUAUAACUUUUAAGAUCUUUGAUGAUACCUCAAAACUAAAUCUCUUUGUAUUAAUGCUUUUGUAACACUGUUUUCUCCCGACAACUUCUCAAACUAGCAGAUGACGAUUGCUUAGCCAUGCUGGAUCUUCUUCAAUCACUGCUUAUAGAUCAUUACUUUAGGUCUAGCUCAAGCAUAUGAAUUGGAUUUUGUGUGUCAGACCGGCACCUUUCUUUUUUGCUCUCAACUUAUUUUUUUCUCGAAAAUGCGCAGGAGAACUGCGCCUCAUUAUAUUAAUAAGAAAAAGAAACCAAGGUCUAAAGGAAGACCUAAUACAAAAGACCCCUUACGAGGUCAGAAACAUGCAUAUAGGAAGAAAUCCAUCUAGGAAAACAAAGAAAAAAACCCACACACUGCCAGGGAAGUCCCUAUGGCUCAGCUAAGGGGGCUGCCAGGUAAGAAAUGCCUUUUGCCCCCGCUAUUUCCCAUCGAUGCAUCUCCUCAAGCAGGUAUUUUUUAUUCUAAAUUGUUGAGUUGGAGAAUAUUUUCCAAUCCAGUCAUUGCUGCAGUUACAUAUAUUUGGCUUGAAUGCUCUAAAUUGUUGACCUUGUUUUUCUUAUUCUAAAUUCUUUUAAAAUAUUGAUGCACACAGUUAGCUUCUUACUACUGAAGAAAUACUUAUAUGUCUAUAGCAUGUAUUGAUUCAUUGUCCUUUUGUACAACUGCUAAUAUAUCUACUUUGCCAUCCAAGCUCGGAGGUGAGAAGGUAGUUUAUGAUGCUACCAAGAAAAUCUUCUCAAGCUCCAGUGGUCCAGCCGAAGAUAUUCUAUUCUUAUUCACAGAUUGGUUGUCACUACUGGGAGAGAUUGUCAAUAUUGAAACAAUGGUACACACCUAAUUCUUUGUAUUCCUCUUGCAAUCAUCUACUUUCCUCUGGAUUUGCUUGGGACUCAUGUUGGGUACUUGUGUUUUAACUAUAGCCUACCACAACUUGCUUGAGACUAAAUUGCUUUGUUGUUGCUCAGUUGCUGUUGAAUCCUCUGCUACUCUAAGCUUCUUUGAUGUUGGGUGUAAUGUUGUAACUGGCUAUCGUUGUUGGCCGAACAUUUGGCUAGCGUGGAUGAUAUAUAUUGCAAUGUGAAUCCAAUAAGCAGGAGAGUGAUCAAUGUAUGUAAUCGUUGUACACUAACAUUUGUCGAAUAUUUUGUAUAUCGUUUCAAGGCA